rnacentral:rRNA from 1 species
UACGUAGGGCGCAAGCGUUGUCCGGAAUUAUUGGGCGUAAAGAGCUCGUAGGCGGUCUGUCGCGUCGGCUGUGAAAUCCCGAGGCUCAACCUCGGGUCUGCAGUCGAUACGGGCAAACUGGAGUACUGCAGGGGAGACUGGAAUUCCUGGUGUAGCGGUGAAAUGCGCAGAUAUCAGGAGGAACACCGGUGGCGAAGGCGGGUCUCUGGGCAGUAACUGACGCUGAGGAGCGAAAGCGUGGGGAGCGAACAGG